CCUACGGUGUGCAGCAGUGGGGAAUAUUGGACAAUGGGCGAAAGCCUGAUCCAGCCAUGCCGCGUGUGUGAAGAAGGCCUUCGGGUUGAAAAGCACUUUCAGUGGGGAAGAAAGCCUUGGGGCUAAUACCCUCGAGGAAGGACAUCACCCACAGAAGAAGCACCGGCUAACUCCGUGCCAGCAGCCGCGGUAAUACGGAGGGUGCGAGCGUUAAUCGGAAUUACUGGGCGUAAAGCGCGCGUAGGCGGUCUGAUAAGCCGGUUGUGAAAGCCCCGGGCUCAACCUGGGAACGGCAUCCGGAACUGUCAGGCUAGAGUGCAGGAGAGGAAGGUAGAAUUCCCGGUGUAGCGGUGAAAUGCGUAGAGAUCGGGAGGAAUACCAGUGGCGAAGGCGGCCUUCUGGACUGACACUGACGCUGAGGUGCGAAAGCGUGGGUAGCAAACAGGAUUAGAUACCCGAGUAGUC
rnacentral:rRNA from 1 species